GGUUCAGGAUGAACGCUGGCGGCGUGCCUAACACAUGCAAGUCGAACGGGACUGAUUCCUUGGAGAUUCGUCAAAGAGGAUGAAAGUUAGUGGCGGACGGGUGAGUAACGCGUGGGUAACCUGCCUCAUAGAGGGGGACAACAGCUGGAAACGGCCGCUAAUACCGCAUAAGCCCACACUGCCGCAUGGCAGAGGGGGAAAAGAUUUAUCGCUAUGAGAUGGACCCGCGUUUGAUUAGCUAGUUGGCGGUGUAACGGACCACCAAGGCGGCGAUCAAUAGCCGGACUGAGAGGUUGAACGGCCACAUUGGGACUGAGACACGGCCCAAACUCCUACGGGAGGCAGCAGUGGGGAAUAUUGCACAAUGGGGGAAACCCUGAAUGCAGCGACGCCGCGUGGGUGAAGAAGUUUUUCGGAAUGUAAAGCCCUAUCAGCAGGGAAGAUAAUGACGGUACCUGACUAAGAAGCCCCGGCUAACUACGUGCCAGCCGCAGC
rnacentral:rRNA from 1 species